AGGCGCUGUCAGGCAUGUUGCUUCUAGUCAAUAAUGCUACGUGCAUCAAGAAAUAGGGAAGAAAGUGACUCUGGCCUAUACCAAAUGAUACAACCAUAAACCAACACUGAAUGGAAAGCGUGUCAGCAUCUAAGCUCUGCUAGAAGGACAAGUCUGCAAACUGUCAAAAAAGUCUGCUAUAAAAAUCGAAACACAUAUAUAUGCACAAAUUUCAAAACUGGAGAAAGCAGGAAUUCUUGGACCAGGAUUAUAGCUUCAUGACCAGGGGAAGUAAAAAUACGAAAGCCCAGGGGAAAAAGUGGGGAAAAGUUUGCGAUUUUCUGAGUUUCUUUAUGUUUUUUUUUUUAAUAUUGGGGACACUAAUUACAGAAUUUUCUUUUUUGUGGAAUGCUGGAGGAAAUGUUAGGAUAAGAAUUAUAUAUUUCACCACACCUACUAUCCAAAUUUAAUUCUGAAGCUUAUGUAAUAUGAAAACUUCUACGUAGGAUGAUAUGCAAUAUCUCACAUCAUUGCAUUUUUUGGGUUUCCCCUCUUUUUUAUGGGAACGAAUUCGCUGUGUCUGCUUGACAUGAAGGAGGACUAGAGGAUACAAAACAAUUUUGUUUGUUUUGCUAAUGGGAGUUUUUUUCUAUUUUAUUACUUUGGUUUGGAUUUUUAUCACCUCCGCAUAAACCAGUAAAAAAAAAUAAUGAGAUUUUUAAUUAUUUCAGAGGUUCCUUACAAUACAGAACCAUGUACUCCAUUUGAGAGGAGGGGAGAUGGAAAAUAUAUUCAAUUUUCAAUUUUUCCUGGGAAACAGUCUACACUUUUAAUAUAUCAAACAUAUUAUUUUUAUAUAAGUGAAAUUAUCCAUAAUGCAUUCUAUGCAAGGCUACUUUCAAUGGGUUAAGGAAUAAUCUAUUUUUUCCCAUUUCUGUACAAGAAUGCUCAUUUUUCUCUUUAAAAACAGGAAAACAUGCUCCCAUACAAACAAAGAGAUUCAACAUUUCCCCAAAUUUUACAAAUAGUAGGUCCUCUAGGUGUGGUCUGCCACUCCCUUGUCUGUCAACUUAGGGGCUGGGGAAAGGUAAAUGGCUACAGGAUAUUCCUCUAUCCCGUGUUCCUGCUAGUUGAGCUUUUCUAUUUUUCUACCCUUUUGCCUUUUUGGAUAAGGAAGGGUCAGGAUCCGAUGGAAGCUCCGUGGGAGAGACGAGCUCCUCUCCAUCCGAGAAGAUUGCAGAGUGGUCUUCUGCAUCCUCGGGAUCGAUAUCCGCCCCUCUCAGUCAAGAUGGCAGCAGAAGCUGAAACGGGAGGAGGAGGGGCAUACUUAUAGUGCCCAUAAUCAUAAAAAUAAGCUGGAGGGAUCCAGGGCUUGCAAAGUAGCCUGAGAAACCGAUGGGCUUCGGCACCAGGAGGUCCAUGAAGAGAUCGAAGGAGUAAGAGAAGGGGCUUCUGCCCCUAUCUCCACUUGGACCUCAAGCUCUGCUGUUGCUGGGGAGGCUUGGAUCAAUGUUGGCAGGCUCCUCCGGAGGAGGGAGCAGCACCACGGUCUAAAAGAGUAGUCAAGAUCAUUCCUAAAGCUGCUGCUGGAGCAUGGAAAAAGGAACUAAGCAAAUGUUAUAAAGUACCAUAUCAGCUUUGGGAGAAUUUCAGCAUAAAAAUGUCUACUUCAUCUCUAGUGGCGCAAUGGGUUAAACCCUUGUGCCUGCAGGACUGCUGAUCGACAGGCCAGCAAUUUGAAUCUGGGCAGAGCGGGUGAGCUCCCUCUGUCAGCUGGACAUGAGAGAAGGAUGGUAAAAUAUCAAACAUCGGACGUCCCCUGGGCAAUGUCCUUGCAGAUGGCCAAUUCUCUGACACCAGAAGUGACUUGCAGUUUCUCAGGUCACUCCUGACACACAAAAAACU